GACGAACGCUGGCGGCGUGCUUAACACAUGCAAGUCGAACGGAAAGGCCCUGCUUUUGUGGGGUGCUCGAGUGGCGAACGGGUGAGUAACACGUGAGUAACCUGCCCUUGACUUUGGGAUAACUUCAGGAAACUGGGGCUAAUACCGGAUAGGAGCUCCUGCUGCAUGGUGGGGGCUGGAAAGUUUCGGCGGGUGGGGAUGGACUCGCGGCUUAUCAGCUUGUUGGGGGGGUAGUGGCUUACCAAGGCUUUGACGGGUAGCCGGCCUGAGAGGGUGACCGGCCACAUUGGGACUGAGAUACGGCCCAGACUCCUACGGGAGGCAGCAGUGGGGAAUAUUGCACAAUGGGCGGAAGCCUGAUGCAGCAACGCCGCGUGCGGGAUGAUGGCCUUCGGGUUGUAAACCGCUUUCGCAUGUGACGAAGCGUGAGUGACGGUAAUGGGUAAAGAAGCACCGGCUAACUACGUG
rnacentral:rRNA from 1 species